rnacentral:misc_RNA from 1 species
GAGUAGGCAUCCCAAAGUUACGUUUGAUGUUCUCCUUUGUGUUUCUACCCUUCUGAUGACCGAUGAACAUGUAGCUUCUACCAUCCAUGCUUCCAAUGCCAGUCACUAUUGCUGGAUCAUCAUAACCAGCACGAUCUCCAUGAAGCUCAACCCACUUGUCAGUGAUGCUUAUAACGUGAUCUAGAAAGGUUGGUCGAUUUGGAUGUCGAGCAAUGCUCAAACGCUGUAUGGGAGUGAGAUGUGUAUAUAGAUCCUUCAAAGCUUGUUGAUAUUUAGACUCCAGAGAGAUGAUUUGGUCGCUGAAGUCCAG